GCGCUUCUUAAUGCACAGCCACUUCUCAUGUCACGGACCGCGCAGUAGCCAGCCUGUUCAUUUAGGUUUACAAAUCACUCUGCACAUCAAGCUCACAUCAAGCUCGUGUGUGGUGAGGGUCCUGGUACAGAAUCCCGAAUGCCGAGCGUCACCCAGAUGGGUGCUACACAUGAUGCCUGAGUUCAAAACAACGUUAAGACUGACAGGGACCACAAACAAAGAUGACUGUCCAUUGUCCACUGAUUUGCAUGCCCAGUGGUGAGAACCUUCACCACCCCCAUCAGGACUCCGGCUGUAAGUGCAAGUGUCUCCUUUCAAUGCAACAUGCUCAGUUGAUUGGAGAGAUGCAGCCAUAACACACGCAUGAAGAAGCCCGCUUUGCAACAAAGGAUCUGUGCAGUACUGUGGGCAGAUCUGUGGUGGGAUUAGACUUGUAAAGGCUCUUCUGAGGCUCAGAUGAGAAGUAUUGCUGGACACAGCAAAGGGUCUGGCCAUGGCAGAAAGAGUGACAAAAAUGGGACAAACAUCUUUACAGAAAUUAUGAUGUGUACAGCAAUGUAUGUGACACCCAAGAUAACACAAUUUUGUUUUGCCUGGACAAUAAAUUUGCCUUAUAGGGAACUGGGUGUGGCCAGUUCUGAAGGUUUCUGAUUGUGGUAUAAAAAAACCUAUCUUUAUGCAUCUAAA